rnacentral:rRNA from 1 species
AUUGAACGCUGGCGGCAGGCCUAACACAUGCAAGUCGAGCGAGCGGCGGACGGGUGAGUAAUGUCUGGGAAACCGCCUGAUGGAGGGGGAUAACUACUGGAAACGGUAGCUAAUACCGCAUACCAUCAGAUUUGCCCAGAUGGGAUUAGCUAGUAGGUGGGGUAACGGCUCACCUAGGCGACGAUCCCUAGCGGGUCUGUGAGGAUGACCAGCCACACUGGAACUGAGACACGGUCCAGACUCCUACGGGAGGAAGAAGUGGGGAAUAUUGGACAAUGGGCGAAAGCCUGAGGCAGCCAUGCCGCGUGUGUGAAGAAGGACUUCGGGUUGUAAAGCACUUUCAGCGGGGAAGCGUUACCCGCAGAAGAAGCACCGGCUAACUCCGUGCCAGCAGCCGAGGUAAUAC